AGUGAACGCUGGCGGUAGGCCUAACACAUGCAAGUCGAACGGCAGCACAGGAGAGCUUGCUCUCUGGGUGGCGAGUGGCGGACGGGUGAGGAAUACAUCGGAAUCUACUCUGUCGUGGGGGAUAACGUAGGGAAACUUACGCUAAUACCGCAUACGACCUACGGGUGAAAGCAGGGGACCUUCGGGCCUUGCGCGAUUGAAUGAGCCGAUGUCGGAUUAGCUAGUUGGCGGGGUAAAGGCCCCCCAAGGCGACGAUCCGUAGCUGGUCUGAGAGGAUGAUCAGCCAGACGGGAACUGAGACACGGUCCAUACUCCGACGGGAGGCGGCAGUGGGGAAUAUUGGACAAUGGGCGCAAGCCUGAUCCAGCCAUACCUCGUGGGUGAAGAAGGCCUUCGGGUUGUAAAGCCCUUUUGUUGGGAAAGAAAUCCAGCUGGCUAAUACCCGGUUGGGAUGACGGUACCCAAAGAAUAAGCACCGGCUAACUUCGUGCCAGCCGCCGCCGUAA
rnacentral:rRNA from 1 species